rnacentral:rRNA from 1 species
GGUUAAGCGACUAAGCGUACACGGUGGAUGCCCUGGCAGUCAGAGGCGAUGAAGGACGUGCUAAUCUGCGAUAAGCGUCGGUAAGGUGAUAUGAACCGUUAUAACCGGCGAUUUCCGAAUGGGGAAACCCAGUGUGUUUCGACACACUAUCAUUAACUGAAUCCAUAGGUUAAUGAGGCGAACCGGGGGAACUGAAACAUCUAAGUACCCCGAGGAAAAGAAAUCAACCGAGAUUCCCCCAGUAGCGGCGAGCGAACGGGGAGCAGCCCAGAGCCUGAAUCAGUGUGUGUGUUAGUGGAAGCGUCUGGAAAGGCGCGCGAUACAGGGUGACAGCCCCGUACACAAAAAUGCACAUGCUGUGAGCUCGAUGAGUAGGGCGGGACACGUGGUAUCCUGUCUGAAUAUGGGGGGACCAUCCUCCAAGGCUAAAUACUCCUGACUGACCGAUAGUGAACCAGUACCGUGAGGGAAAGGCGAAAAGAACCCCGGCGAGGGGAGUGAAAAAGAACCUGAAACCGUGUACGUACAAGCAGUGGGAGCACGCUUAGGCGUGUGACUGCGUACCUUUUGUAUAAUGGGUCAGCGACUUAUAUUCUGUAGCAAGGUUAACCGAAUAGGGGAGCCGAAGGGAAACCGAGUCUUAACUGGGCGUUAAGUUGCAGGGUAUAGACCCGAAACCCGGUGAUCUAGCCAUGGGCAGGUUGAAGGUUGGGUAACACUAACUGGAGGACCGAACCGACUAAUGUUGAAAAAUUAGCGGAUGACUUGUGGCUGGGGGUGAAAGGCCAAUCAAACCGGGAGAUAGCUGGUUCUCCCCGAAAGCUAUUUAGGUAGCGCCUCGUGAAUUCAUCUCCGGGGGUAGAGCACUGUUUCGGCAAGGGGGUCAUCCCGACUUACCAACCCGAUGCAAACUGCGAAUACCGGAGAAUGUUAUCACGGGAGACACACGGCGGGUGCUAACGUCCGUCGUGAAGAGGGAAACAACCCAGACCGCCAGCUAAGGUCCCAAAGUCAUGGUUAAGUGGGAAACGAUGUGGGAAGGCCCAGACAGCCAGGAUGUUGGCUUAGAAGCAGCCAUCAUUUAAAGAAAGCGUAAUAGCUCACUGGUCGAGUCGGCCUGCGCGGAAGAUGUAACGGGGCUAAACCAUGCACCGAAGCUGCGGCAGCGACACUAUGUGUUGUUGGGUAGGGGAGCGUUCUGUAAGCCUGUGAAGGUGUGCUGUGAGGCAUGCUGGAGGUAUCAGAAGUGCGAAUGCUGACAUAAGUAACGAUAAAGCGGGUGAAAAGCCCGCUCGCCGGAAGACCAAGGGUUCCUGUCCAACGUUAAUCGGGGCAGGGUGAGUCGACCCCUAAGGCGAGGCCGAAAGGCGUAGUCGAUGGGAAACAGGUUAAUAUUCCUGUACUUGGUGUUACUGCGAAGGGGGGACGGAGAAGGCUAUGUUGGCCGGGCGACGGUUGUCCCGGUUUAAGCGUGUAGGCUGGUUUUCCAGGCAAAUCCGGAAAAUCAAGGCUGAGGCGUGAUGACGAGGCACUACGGUGCUGAAGCAACAAAUGCCCUGCUUCCAGGAAAAGCCUCUAAGCAUCAGGUAACAUCAAAUCGUACCCCAAACCGACACAGGUGGUCAGGUAGAGAAUACCAAGGCGCUUGAGAGAACUCGGGUGAAGGAACUAGGCAAAAUGGUGCCGUAACUUCGGGAGAAGGCACGCUGAUAUGUAGGUGAAGUCCCUCGCGGAUGGAGCUGAAAUCAGUCGAAGAUACCAGCUGGCUGCAACUGUUUAUUAAAAACACAGCACUGUGCAAACACGAAAGUGGACGUAUACGGUGUGACGCCUGCCCGGUGCCGGAAGGUUAAUUGAUGGGGUUAGCGCAAGCGAAGCUCUUGAUCGAAGCCCCGGUAAACGGCGGCCGUAACUAUAACGGUCCUAAGGUAGCGAAAUUCCUUGUCGGGUAAGUUCCGACCUGCACGAAUGGCGUAAUGAUGGCCAGGCUGUCUCCACCCGAGACUCAGUGAAAUUGAACUCGCUGUGAAGAUGCAGUGUACCCGCGGCAAGACGGAAAGACCCCGUGAACCUUUACUAUAGCUUGACACUGAACAUUGAGCCUUGAUGUGUAGGAUAGGUGGGAGGCUUUGAAGUGUGGACGCCAGUCUGCAUGGAGCCGACCUUGAAAUACCACCCUUUAAUGUUUGAUGUUCUAACGUGGACCCGUGAUCCGGGUUGCGGACAGUGUCUGGUGGGUAGUUUGACUGGGGCGGUCUCCUCCUAAAGAGUAACGGAGGAGCACGAAGGUUGGCUAAUCCUGGUCGGACAUCAGGAGGUUAGUGCAAUGGCAUAAGCCAGCUUGACUGCGAGCGUGACGGCGCGAGCAGGUGCGAAAGCAGGUCAUAGUGAUCCGGUGGUUCUGAAUGGAAGGGCCAUCGCUCAACGGAUAAAAGGUACUCCGGGGAUAACAGGCUGAUACCGCCCAAGAGUUCAUAUCGACGGCGGUGUUUGGCACCUCGAUGUCGGCUCAUCACAUCCUGGGGCUGAAGUAGGUCCCAAGGGUAUGGCUGUUCGCCAUUUAAAGUGGUACGCGAGCUGGGUUUAGAACGUCGUGAGACAGUUCGGUCCCUAUCUGCCGUGGGCGCUGGAGAACUGAGGGGGGCUGCUCCUAGUACGAGAGGACCGGAGUGGACGCAUCACUGGUGUUCGGGUUGUCAUGCCAAUGGCACUGCCCGGUAGCUAAAUGCGGAAGAGAUAAGUGCUGAAAGCAUCUAAGCACGAAACUUGCCCCGAGAUGAGUUCUCCCUGAC